rnacentral:rRNA from 1 species
AUUGAACGCUGGCGGCAGGCCUAACACAUGCAAGUCGAGCGGAUGAAGGGAGCUUGCUCCUGGAUUCAGCGGCGGACGGGUGAGUAAUGCCUAGGAAUCUGCCUGGUAGUGGGGGAUAACGUCCGGAAACGGGCGCUAAUACCGCAUACGUCCUGAGGGAGAAAGUGGGGGAUCUUCGGACCUCACGCUAUCAGAUGAGCCUAGGUCGGAUUAGCUAGUUGGUGGGGUAAAGGCCUACCAAGGCGACGAUCCGUAACUGGUCUGAGAGGAUGAUCAGUCACACUGGAACUGAGACAAGGUCCAGACUCCUACGGGAGGCAGCAGGGGGGAAUAUUGGACAAUGGGCGAAAGCCUGAUCCAGCCAAGCCGCGUGUGUGAAGAAGGUCUUCGGAUUGUAAAGCACUUUAAGUUGGGAGGAAGGGCAGUAAGUUAAUACCUUGCUGUUUUGACGUUACCAACAGAAUAAGCACCGGCUAACUUCGUG